rnacentral:snRNA from 2 species
UUGCUUCAGCAGCACAUAUGCUAAAACUGGAACAAUACAGAGAAGAUUAGCAUGGCCCCAGAACAAGGAUGACAUGAAAUUCAUGAAGUGUUCCACAUUUUU